rnacentral:rRNA from 1 species
UACAGAGGCCACGAGCGUUAAUCGGAAUCACUGGGCUUAAAGGGUGCGUAGGCUGGUCGGUAAGUGUCUCGUGAAAUCCCUUGGCUCAACCAAGGAACCGCGGGGCAUACUGCCGAUCUCGAGGAAGGUAGAGGCUGUCGGAACGCUAGGUGGGGCGGUGGAAUGCGUAGAGAUCUAGCGGAACGCCGAAAGUGAAGACAGGCAGCUGGGCCUUUCCUGACGCUGAGGCACGAAAGCGUGGGGAGCAAACCGG